ACCCUUAAUUUAAAUGAUUAAGUCAGAUGCAUAUGCAAAUUUAAAAGUAUAAUCUCCUGGAGCUACUAGACAUCAAAUGUGGACCUCAACAGGAACCUGUUCUGCUGCAGAGGGGAAGGUGUAUGCUGCUGCUAUUGGUGGUUUUCUGAAUGGCUGAUAGACAGAUAACCACAUGCUGGUUUUCUUAAUAGGACUUCCCUCCACCAUUUGGGGCAUAACCUGGAAAGAUCAGAGGAAACAUUGGAGUUUCUUGUUCCUCUCCAACUCCUGUUUCAAACUGAUCUACUCUUUUUCUGUUUCUCAUGAGAGGAAACAAACAGAUAUCUAAGGGAUAAUAAUAAAAAUAUAUAAUAAUAUAAUAUAAUAAAAAAGAGAAAACCUAAGACAUUGGAAUUGAACAAAGCAAACAGAAGGAAAAGAACCCAUGAGAAGUCAGAAGAAUCAGAGACCCACUUGUUGAACAUUCUGCAAACACUAAACUGGAAACCAUAUUAUGUGUGCAGAGAAUCUGGUACAAACCUGCAGAGGCCCUAUGCAUGCCGCUCCGUCUCUGGUUCCUGAGCCCUCAGUUGAAGGAUUUGAUGGAGACAUCCCAUUUAGGGCUGAAUAUUCUGAGGAUUCUCAUUUAUGCAUAAUGCCUGGCUAUAUGGAUCUCUAUAUUAGUUCCCAAAUAUGCUGGAGGAGGAAACUUCUCUGAUAAUUCCUCAUCAAAGCAAUGAUCUAUUGAGUAUAGCAGAAUGUCAUUAAGCAUCAUUGUAUUACUCUUUUUAUUUUUAGUACCGUAGUACUUGGUUUUACCCUAAAUCCCUAGGCUAUCUAUUCUCAAGUUCCUGGCCACCCAAGCAAUGUUGGGUAUGGGUUGCAUCUCAUGGAGUAGGCCUUAAGUCAAAUCAGAAACUUGUUGGUUACUCCCACAAGCUUAAUGCCAUUAUUGCCCUAGCAUAUCUUGCAGGCAGGACACCAUUAUAGAUCAAAGGGUUUGUGCCUUGCUUGGUGUUAAUGUUUUUCCUUUGGUAAUAUGCAGAGUAUGUUCCUAUAAGAUAGACACUAGUAUGUAGGGAUGAAGUCUUUAUGUAGCUACUAUCUCCAUUUCUCCAUGUGCAACAAGUUGUAUAGGUGUUGUCAUCAGCAAUGGGGCCUUACCAUCAGUUUGUAGAGAAUAACCUAUAGUCUUGGCAACAGCUUUGGCUGCUUGGAAUUUUUAAGUGACUUCUUUGGCCAACAUCCCAAUUAGAUGUAACCAAAUCCUGAUACUGAAAGCUUCAUUUGGUGUCAAGAAAUUUCCAAUUUGGGAUCUGUCUCACGCUUUAUUUGGUAACUUCAUUUUGAUGGCCUUUAUAUGUGCAUGUAUCUUAACAAAAUUCUGCUGUGCUAGAUUCCUAUACUAUCCCUCCAAAACGCCCUUAAUUUUGCCUGUCUCUCCACAUAUUCCCACCCUUGACCAUCUAUCUGCCCUCCUCCACUUGGUUCUCUUCCCCAAACCCAACUAUCCAUCAUUAUCUAUUUUGUCUACCUCUCUUCCUAGUCACUUAUUUUGUACCUAACCUCUGUGGUUCUAACAAAUACAGUGUGGUUGUCAUUGACUUAAUAGCUAAUGUCUAAAUAUAAGUGAAUAAUACAAUAUUUGUCUUUGUGGGUUACCCUAGUCCAGAUGAUAUUUUCUAGUUCCAUCCAUUUAUUUGCAGAUUUCAUUCUUUAAUGGCCGAACAAUAUUCUAUCAUGUAAAUGUACCACAUCUUCUUUGUCAAUUAAGCUGAUCAGAGACACCUAGAUUGUUUCUAAGUUAUGUAUAUUUUGAAUAUAGCAUCAGUGAAUGUUGUUUAAAAAUGAGUCUCUGUGGUAGGAUGAACCAUCCUUUUGUAUAUGUGCCAAAGUGCUAUAGCUGCAUCUUUACCUAAAGGGAUUCCCAUCUUCCUCAGGAGCUGCCACACUAAUUUCCAUGUUGUCUGCUCAAGCUUGCAGUCUCACCAGCAAUGGAUGAGUGCUCCCCUUGUUCAGCAUCCUUGCCAGCAAAAGCUGUCGUUUGUUUUAUUGAUGUUGACCAUUCUGGCAGGUGUAAGAUGAAAUAGUUUUGAUUUGCAUUUCCCUGAUGGCUAAGGAUGUUGAGCAUUUAUUUAAGUGUUAUCUCAGCCAUUUCAAUUGCCUCUUUUGAAAUAUAUCUAUUUAGAUCUGUGCCCUGUUUUUUAAUUGAUUUAUUUGUUUUCUUGAUAUCUAGGGGUUUCUUUUUUAGUUCUUUAUAUAGUUUGGCUAAUAAGCCCCUAUCAGAUAUGUGGUUGGUAAAAAUCUUUUCCCAUUCUGUUGGCUACACUUUAUCUGAAUGACUGACUGUGUCCUUUGCUGUAAAGAAAGUUUUGUUUCAUGCAGUCUCAUUUGUUAAUUGUUGAUCAUAGUGCUCAUGCUAAAGGUGUUCUGUUCAUGUCUUUUCCUAUGAGGUCAAGCUUAUUUCUCACUGUAUCUUCUAUCAGGUUUAGUAUAUCUUGUCUUAUAUCAAUGUCUUUGAUCCAUUUGAAGUUGAGUUUUGUGCAGGGUGAUAAGUAUGGAUCUAUUAAAACUUCUAGUUUGACUAGCA